rnacentral:rRNA from 1 species
UGCCUACGGGAGGCAGCAGUGAGGAAUAUUGGUCAAUGGGCGAGAGCCUGAACCAGCCAAGUCGCGUGAGGGAGUACUGCCCUAUGGGUUGUAAACCUCUUUUGUCGGGGAGCAAAAGCCGGACGUGUCCGGCUGUGAGAGUACCCGAAGAAAAAGCAUCGGCUAACUCCGUGCCAGCAGCCGCGGUAAUACGGAGGAUGCGAGCGUUAUCCGGAUUUAUUGGGUUUAAAGGGUGCGCAGGCGGAUUUUUAAGUCAGCGGUCAAAUUGUGGGGCUCAACCCCUAUCCGGCCGUGGAACCGGGGGG